rnacentral:rRNA from 1 species
CCUAUGGGGCGCAGCAGGCGGGAAAACUUUGCAAUUUGCGAAAACCCGACCAGGUUAAUCCGAGGGGAUUUUAUAAAAGGGAACUUUUCAGUCCUA